rnacentral:sRNA from 1 species
AAAAAAUAAUUUUAUAAUCCAUCAAAUUUAAAUACUAUUUUUUUAGAAGGUCCAAUAUAUAGUCAAACUCUACUAUAUAGGGUAACGCGACUUAGUGGAAUCGAACCUCGAUAGAAAGACGAAAUCAAAUGAACUUAACCACUUGACUAAAAGCACAUCUCUCAAAUCUAAAAACUACUUAUUCGUGGUUUAUCUAUAAAACUUGAAA